rnacentral:tRNA from 1 species
GCCGGGGUAGCUCAGCCAGGCGGAGCACUCGACCACCCUGUGUGGGGUGAAGCUGUUAACCGAGGGGUCCCGGGUUCAAAUCCCGGCCCCGGCG